rnacentral:tRNA from 1 species
UGAUAUUUAGUUUAGAUAAAAUAAAUGAUUUCGACUCAUUAGACUGUGGUUAACUCCACAAUUAUCAA